rnacentral:sRNA from 1 species
GCUGGGUGUGGUGGCGCACACUGGUAAUCCCAGACACUCGGGAGGUUGAGGCAGGAGGAUCUCAGGUUCAAGGCCAGCCCCAGCAACUUAGUGAGUCCCUAAGCAACUUAGAAAGACCCUGUCUCAA